GGGCCACUAGCUCAGCUGGUAGAGCACAUCCAUGGCAUGGAUGGGGUCAGGGGUUCAAGUCCCCUGUGGUCCA
rnacentral:tRNA from 1 species